CAGGAGCUUCAAAAGUUGGUAUUUCCUGUUAAGUGCAGCCAGGUGAAGACAAGCAAGUCCUGCAAGAAAAAAGUUCCAAAUUCCUGCUGACCUCUCCAGUUUUGGAUCUUGAGGACGGGCUCUAGCGAGCCGUAAGAAAAGUCUCGGGUCAUCGCGGAGGCGCACUCCUUCUGACCGUGCUGGCACGCCACGUGGAGCGCCGUGUUCCCGUCCUGGUCCUGCAGCUCCAGGCUGGCCCCUUUCCUCGUCAGCUCCCUCACUACGUCCGUCAGGUUCAGGUAGGUGGCGAGGUGCAGAGGACUCUGCGGGUAGGGAAGCUGUUUUAUUUACCGAUCAGAUGUGUAAUAAGACACCACCAGAAAGAGAAAAAAAAAA